GCGGAUUGGCUGGCGCGGAUUCCAGCCGCUUUCCAAGUUGGAGGCGCCUAGUGAGGGUCAGGGAGGCCCGGCCCGCGCCCUCUCCGCCCAGCCGCCUCCCCGUCGACCACCCAGGGCUGGGGCGAGCCAGGCUGCCUUUCGAACUUGGGGGCUUCUCCUCUUGUCUCCCACUGGUGCUCUGGCUGUGAAUCCAUCCAGGCGCCAGGAGAUGACAAUCCGAUACCAAGGCCGGCAGUACAGGCUGAGGAUGGCAUUUCUCCAAAAGGUUUCCAAGCUGCGUCCUGGGCCUGGAGACUGAGACAGAGAUCCACGGACUGCAGUGCAGGCAGCCCACCCCAGCUCCGAGUCAUAUAAGGCUGCUUUCUUUUGUGUUUCCUGUUUUAAAUACUGACUACCACCAUUGGCUUGGCAGAGAGGUUGAAAUAUCAGUAAAAAACAUGCAGAACCAAAGAUGGGGACCAAAAUCCAAAGCCAGAGGGUCCUGGAAAUCAGAGGGUCUUACAACAUAACAGGCAGUACAGGCCAUGGCUCAGGCUAGGCGUGGAACAGACUGCAGUUCUCUUCUACAAAUCAAUCUAGACUGGACAGAUAGAACUCCAAGGGAGGAAAGAAAAAUGAAUCUGAUGUUACUUCUUGAAACCACAUUUUCUGAAGUCACCAUUUUUAUGUAUCUAUCAACUCAUCAUUUUUAUGUAUAUAUCAAUAUGAUUUUAUGAUCUUAUUUUUUCCUACUAAUGUGAUGAAUUACCUUGAUUGAUUUUAGAAUAUUAAAUCACUUUUGUAUUCCUGGAAUAAACCCUAGAUGGAUGCUUGAUUUUUUCUAAUUCCUUAGCAAAAAUGCUAAUAUUUUAUUUAGGAUUUUGCAUCUAUAUUCACAAGUGAGGAUUUUUUCCCUCUCCUGACACCAACCAAUUCUCCAACACAAACUGAGUGUCCUACAAUUCAAUUCAAUUCUGACACUACCCAGAGUUAGCAUUAGCCUCCACAGAUUUAAGGCCUCAGCCCUACAAGACUGUCCCAAUCAGACUCCAGUUGCAAGUCCUGGGCCACCCAUACUUCUGGGCAACUGGUUACAAAUUGGGGGUUCUUAUGACCACCUCCCGCAGGCUUGACAAUUUGCGAGAAUGAUUAGUGGAAAGCAAGAAAGUGCUUAACUUAAUAUUACUGGUUUAUUACAAAGGAUACAAUUCAGGAAGAGCCAAAUGGAAGUGAUGCAUGGAGCAAGGCAAGGGAGAAUGAGCACAGAGCUUUCCUACCCUCUCCAGGCACACCACUCUCCGAGCACCUUGAUGUGUUCACCAACCUGGAAGCUCUCUGAACCCCAUCAUUUACAGGUUUUAAUGGAAGUUUCAUUACAUAGGCAUGACUUUUUUUUUUUUUUGAGACGGAGUCUUACUCUGUCGCCCAGGCUGGAGUGCAGUGGCACCAUCUCGGCUCACUGCAACCUCCACCCCCCGGGUUCAAGCAAUUCUCCUGCCUCAGCCUCCCAAGUAGUUGGGACUACAGGUGGACACCACCAUGCCCAGCUAAUUUUUGUAUCUUUAGUAGAGAUGGGGUUUCACCAUGUUGGCCAGGCUGGUCUUGAACUCCUGACCUCAGGUGAUCCGCCUGCCUUGGCUUCCCAAAGUGCUGGGAUUAUAGGCAUGAGCCCUACAUAGCAAUGACUGAUUGAAUCUUUGAACACUGGUGAUUACUUCAAUCUCCAGCCCCUUGUCCCUCUCCCCUCCCCAGAAGUCAGUGGGUGGGGCUAAAAGUUCCAACCCUCUAAUCAUGCCUAGUUCUCCUUUUUUUUUUUUUUUAAUUGUUUAUUUUUCUUGGCAUGCAGAAUAAGAGCUAUUGUCUAGGUCUUUCUGGUGACCUCUUCAUCCUGAACUACCUAGAAGCCUCCAGCCACUAGUCAUUUCAUUAGUAUACAAGAGACACUCUUGCCAUUGUGGAGAUUUCAGGAGUUUCGGGAGCCAUGUGCCAGGAACCAGGGACAAAACCCAAAUAUUUAUUUUUUCUCAUACCACAAUGAUUGACAUUGGUCUGUAAUUUUUUCUGCUUGUAAUAUCCUAGUCCAGUUUUUCUAUUAAGGUUAUGGCCACAUAAAAAGAGUUGGGAACUAUACUCUGUUUUGCUAUUCUUUGGUAGAGUUUGUCCAAGUUUAUGCAAGAUUGGUAUUAUUCUUUUUUUUUUAGAGACAGGUUCUCACUCUGUCACCCAGACUGGAGUGGCAGUGAUGCCAUCACAGCUCAUUCACUAUAACCUUGAACUCCUGGGCUCAAGCAAUCCUCCCACCUAAGCCUCCUAAGUACCUGGGACUACAGGUGCAAGCUGCCAUGCCCUGCUAAUUUUUAAAUUUUUGGUAGAGGCGGUGCCUUACUGUAUUGUCCAGGCUGGUCUUGAACUCCUAGACUCAAGUGAUUCUCCUACCUCAGCCUCCCAAAGUGCUGGGUGUAUAGGUGUGAGCCACCACACACAGCCCAUGGUAUUAUUCUUUAAAUAUUUGGAAGAAUUAACUGAUGAGGCAAGCCAUCUGGGGCUUGGAAUUCUUUGUGAGAAGUUCUUGAAUAGAUUCCAUUUAUUUAUUAGAUAUUGGCUAUUCAGAUUUUACUUUUUUAUGUGGGCUUUGGAAAGUUGUAUUUUUCAGGGAGUUUGUCUAUUUUAUCCAAGUUGUCAAUAUUUUGGUGUAAAGACAAUAAUAUUCUCUUAUCUUUGUUAUAUUUGUGGGAUCUGUACUGAUAUUCCUUUCUAAUAUUGAAAAUUUGUCUUUUUUGUUUCUGUUGAUCAGUAUUGUUUGGAGUCUAUCAAUAUAAAUAAUAUUUUCAAAUAACCAAAUUUUGAUUUUGUUGAUUUUUCUCCAUUGUAUAUGUGUUUUCUAUUUCUUUUCUUUCUUUCUUUUUUUUUUUUUUGAGACGGAGCCUCGCUCUGCCGCCCAGGCUGGAGUGCAGUGACACGACCUUGGCUUACCGCAAGCUCCACCUCUCGGGUUCACGCCAUUCUCCAGCCUCAGCCUCCUGAGUAGCUGGGACUAUAGGCGCCCGCCACUACGCCCGGCUAAUUUUUUUGUAUUUUUAGUAGAGACGGGGUUUCACCACAUUAGCCAGGAUGGUCUCGAUCUCCUGACCUCGUGAUCCGCCCGCCUCGGCGUCCCAAAGUGCUGGGAUUAUAGGCGUGAGCCACCGCGCCAGGCAGAUUUGUUUUCUAUUUCACUGAUUUAUAAUCUUUAUUAUUUACUUCUAUUUUCCUUAGAUAUAACUUACUGUUCUUUUUGUUCUUAAACUAAAAAAAUAAAUCAUUGACUUUCAGCCUGUCCAUUUUUCGAAUAUAUACAUUUUUAAGGUUAUAAAUAACUCUCUAGUCCCUACAUUAGCUGCAUCCUAUGAGUUUUUAGAAGUUACGUCUUUUAUGGGGUCACAUUCAGUUCAAAAUAUUUGCUAAUAUCUGUCUAGAUUUCUUCUUUAAUCUAUGAGUUAUUUAGAAAUAUAUUUUUUAUUUCCAGGCCGUGGAGAUUAUCUUUUUAUUAUUGAGUUCUGACUUAAUUUUAUUCUGGUCAAACAACAUUCUCUGAAUGAUUUCAAUGUUUUGAAAUUUGUUGAGGCUUUCUUUAUUGCCCAUCAUAUGAUCAAUUUUGAUACGUUUCAUGUACACUUAAAAAGUAAAUUCAUGCAUGCCUGUAAUCCCAGCUACUUGGGAGGCUGAGGCAGGAGAAUUGCUUGAACCUGGGAGGCGGAGGUUGCAGUGAGCCGAGAUUGCACCAUUGCACUCCAGCCUGGGCAACAACAGCAAAACUCCAUCUUAAAAAAUAAAUAAAUAAAUAAAAUAAAUUCUAUCAUUAUGGGUACAGAAUUUGAUACAUAUACAACAACUAAGUCAAGUCUGUUAGUUGCGUUAUUUAAAUCUUCUAGAUCCUUACUAUAUUUUCUUGCUCUAUAAGUUACCGAGAAAUGUAUCUUACAGUCUUCCAUAAUGAUUGUGGAUUUGUCACUUUCUUCUUUGAGUUGCUUAAUUUUUGCUUUAUGUAUUCUGAAGUUAUAAGUAUGUAUAGAUUUGUGAUUUGAUAUCUACUUGAUGGAUUGACCCAUUAUAAUAUGUACCUUUUUUUUUUUUUUUUUUUUUUUUUUUUUUUUUUUUGAGACGGAGUCUCGCUCUGUCACCCCAGGCUGGAGUGCAGUGGCGCGAUCUUGGCUCACUGCAACAUCUGACUCCCUGGUUCAAGUGAUUCUCUUGCCUCAGCCUCCAGAGUAGCUGGGAUUACAGGCACAUGCCACCACGCCCAGCUAAUUUUUGUAUUUUUAGUAGAGAUGAGGUUUCACCAUGUUGGCCAGGAUGGUCUUGAUGUCUUGACUUUGUGAUCUGCCCACCUUGGCUUCCCAAAGUGCUGGGAUUGUAGGCAUGAACCACUGCACCUGGCCAAUCUUAGUUUUUUAUUUGGAUUAUUUAGUCUAUUUAAAUAAUAGUAAAGUAAUUAUUGAUAUAAAGUUGGGUUUAUUCUAUUUGUUUUCUGCUUGACCCAUUUGUUUUCUGUUGUUUUUCUUCUUUCUUGCAUUCUUUUGGAUUAAGAAAAUAUUUUCUAUCAUUCUAUUCUUUACCUCAAGCUUGUUAGUUAUACAUUGUUUUGUUACAUAUUCUUUUUCUUUAGCUGUUAUCCUAGAGAUUAAACAACAUGCAAUCUUGACUUAUUUCUGUGUAAUACAAAUUAUUACUUUUACCAGUUCCCAAAACAUUUAAAACUUUAGGAAACUUUAGUUUUAUUUAUCUCCUUCCUCAUUUUGUGUUGUUGUUAUACAUGUUUAGUUCUACACAUAUAUUUAAAUUCCAUAAGACAUUAUACCUAUUGGGUUGGCAAUAAAUAUUCAUUAAUAAUUACCUAUGUAUUCAUCCAUUCUGGUAUUUUUCUUCUUUUUUGAGAGACAGGGUCUUGCUCUGUCACCAAGGCUGGACUGGUGUGCUAGCACAAUCAUGGCUCAUUGCAGCCUCAGCCUCCUGGGCUCAAGCAGUCUUCCCGCCUCAGCCACCUGAGUAGCUGGAACUACAGGCAUGCGCCAUUACGCCUGGCUAAUUUUUAAAUUUUUGUAGAGGUGAGAUCUCACUAUGUUGCCCAGGCUGGUCUCAAACUCCUGGGUGCAAGCAAUCCUCCCACUUUGGCAUCCCAAAAUGCUGGGAUUAUAGGCACUCCUGGCAUAUAUAUAUAUUAAAAUAUAUAUACUAAAAUAUAUAUAUAUACAUUUUAAUUGAAAUAUGGUAUUCACUCAGAAAACACGUACAGAUCAAUACAUUUUCACAAGCAGAAUGUGGUACAUAUAUUUUAAAACAUUAAAUUCUGUUUAAAGAAGCAAAAUUUUGUAUUUUAGGAACACAUUACUUACUGUUCAAACAGAUGGUUUCCUGAGGAAAUGUGUGUGACUUCACACUAUGGGGCUGUCUUUGUCAGCCCUCCCAGACUGCCCCAUCUGUGACUUGAUUUUUUUUUUCUCCUUGUCAAGGUGUCCUCCUCAAUUCAAUUCACCUCUGCUUCAGGCCAACCGAGACAGGGUCCUUUUGUCAACCUUCUGGCUUCCUUUGCCCUGAGGGAUGGAAGCCUUUUCCCACAACCCCCAUCAGCUUCUCUUUCUGCAUGUUGCUGAUCUGGAGACCUGCUGUCAUUUGUGGCUGCUCUGAGACAUGGCCUGGUCAUGGGGGCAGAGCCUUCCUUUGACUGCACCAUUUGUUAGCUGUGCUUUAGCCUUCUGUGGAGAUUACGACUGGAAAGGCUUGAGACAUUGAUGACUGGUUCAGCAACAAGAGCUUGAACUGUAUGGGAGGAAAGACUGAAUACUACAAUUUUAGCAGUCAUUACUGGGGAAGCUGGCAGGAGGAUCAUUUGAGCCCAGGAGUUCGUGACAGCCUGGGUAACAGCAAGACCCUGUCUUAUUAAAUUAUAAUAAUAAUAGACUGAAUUAUGGACAAAACGAAGUUAACAAAUUUUUUUAGCAGUCACCAUUCCUUAAGCACCUACUGUCAGGUGCUCUGCCAGAAACUUCUAUAGAGCAUCUCAUGAAUCCUCAAAAUAAUUCUGUGAAGAAAAUAUCAUUACUAUCUGAUAUGGUUUGGCUGUGUCCCCAACCAAAUCUCAUCUUGAAUUGUAGUUCCCAUAAUCCCCAUGUGUCAUGGGAGGGAGCCAGUAUGAGGUAAUUUAGUCAUGGGGGUGGUUACCCUCAUGCUGUUCUCAUGAUAAUGGGUGAGUUCUCACGAGAUCUGAUGGUUUUAUAAGGGACUUUACUCCUUUUGCUCAACACUUCUCCUUCCUGCUGCCACGUGAAGAAGGAUGUGUUUGCUUCAAUUUCUACCAUGAUUGUAAGUCUCCUGAGACCUCACGAGCCAUGUUGAACUGUGAGACAAUUAAACCUCUUUCCUUUAUAAAUUACCCAGUCUUAGGUAUGUCUUUAUUCGCAGUGUGAGAAUGGAUUAAUACACUAUACAACUUCAAAUAAGGAAGAGGAAGCUCAGGGAAGCAAUUUGCCUAAGGUCACACAUCUAGUAAGUGCAGAGAGUGUUUGGAUCAGAUUUAAUUCAUGCUCUUUGCUCUAGGUCCAGUCACAUCUUCUAUGCCUAUCUCAGCUGCUGACACGUGACUCAGCUGCUCCCAUUUUCCUUGGAAAAGUAGGAGCUGGAAAGGACCUCAGAGGUCAUCCACAUCAACCAUCUCAUUUCACUGAUGAGGAAACUGAGACUUGGACCAGGGGAAGUCAGCUGCCAUGUUGUGAGGACACUCAAGCAAUCCUAUGGAGAGGCCCAUGUGAUGAGGAACUGAAGCCUCCUGCCAACAGCCACGUGAGGGCACCAUCUUGGAAGCAGAUCUGCCAACUUCACCCAAGCCUUCAGAUGAAUAUAGCCCUGACCGACAUCUUCACUACAAUCUCAUGAGAGAACCUGCGCCAGCACUACCUAGCUAUGAUGCUGCAAAAUUCCUGACCCAUAGAAACUGUGAGAUAAUAAAUGCUUGUUGUGUUAAGCCACAA